rnacentral:rRNA from 1 species
CUAUGGGCUGCUCCAGUGAGGAAUAUUGCACAAUGGGGGGAACCCUGAUGCAGCAACGCCGCGUGGAGGAUGACGCAUUUCGGUGUGUAAACUCCUUUUAUAUGUCAAGAAAAUGACGGUAGCAUAUGAAUAAGCACCGGCUAACUCCGUGCCAGCAGCCGCGGUAAUACGGAGGGUGCAAGCGUUACUCGGAAUCACUGGGCGUAAAGGACGCGUAGGCGGGUUGGAAAGUCAGGUGUGAAAUCCUACAGCUUAACUGUAGAACUGCACUUGAAACUUCUAAUCUAGAGUAUGGGAGGGGGAGAUGGAAUUAGUGUGUAGGGGUAACAUCCGUAGAUAUCACUAGGAAUACCUAAAGCGAAGGCGAUCUCCUGGAACAUUACUGACGCUAAGGCGUGAAAGCGUGGGGAGCAAACAGGAUUAGAUACCCCCGUAGUC